rnacentral:RNase_P_RNA from 1 species
GAAGCUGACCAGACAGUCGCCGCUUCGUCGUCGUCCUUUCGGGGAGACGGGCGGAGGGGAGGAAAGUCCGGGCUCCAUAGGGCAGGGUGCCAGGUAACGCCUGGGGGGGAAACCCACGACCAGUGCAACAGAGAGCAAACCGCCGAUGGCCCACGUAAGUGGGAUCAGGUAAGGGUGAAAGGGUGCGGUAAGAGCGCACCGCGCGGCUGGUAACAGUCCGUGGCACGGUGAACUCCACCCGGAGCAAGGCCAAAUAGGGGUUCAUAAGGUACGGCCCGUACUGAACCCGGGUAGGCUGCUUGAGCCAGUGAGCGAUUGCUGGCCUAGAUGAAUGACUGUCCACGACAGAACCCGGCUUAUCGGUCAGUUUCACUU